rnacentral:lncRNA from 1 species
AGUUUUUAACCAGCCACUGCAGGAUAGGAAGUAAUCCUGGAGGGGGUGCAAUCGCCAUUGACCACGACCGGCCACAGUGUGCUGUAUAGGAGUUAACUGAGACUGAUUAUGUAAAGUGCCUUACAUAGUGCCUGUUUACAUAGGGGGCAUCUCGUAAAUGUUAUCUCUUGUUAUCAUUUUGCCAAAGAAGACCUGUCAUGGUAGUUCUGAUGGUGAUUGCUACACACAGUUUCCUGAGUGCUAUGGUGGGUAUGACUGAAAAUGAAGGCGAUAAUCCACUUCCUGCCUUCUGAUGGGAUGCUGAACACGCAAUGGGUUGCAGGAUAGCCUAGCUUCCUUGAAUGCAUGGGCUUGCGGUUUAGACAAGUUUUGUGAAGUCAUUGUAUAGAUAUUGGCCAAGGCACACCGUUUGCAGGUGCUUCAUCUGAUGGCUCUGAGGCUGGGGCUUGUAGGUGUGUGUGGCACAUGCCCAUUUCAGCACCUACAUUCUCCCCGCAUUUCCAACACCUGACUUCUUCCCCCAGAGGCCAUUUCUGGUUCUUCCUCUUCUUCAGGCAAAUCCUCUCCUAUGCUAGGCCAUAUAUAUCAAGGGUAGUCAGGCUCUUGAGGAAUUUUCUGCUUACGUAAGGCAACAGUUAUGAUGCUUUCGAACAAAAUAGAGGGAACAAGCACUGUUGUGAUUGGAAGUCACAGAACAUGCCUUACAGUAUAAAAAAAAAAUACAAACUGAGAUUUGAAAGCAAAAUGGGAGUUUUCCAAGUCAAGUGAACUUAGGAAUCAGUAUAAUCCAUGGAAAGAAAGGCAUGUACUAAAAACAUGCCUCCCCACAGAUUAGUGGUUAUAAAGAUAGAUAGGUGAACCUGAAGUCUAAUUUCUGUUCUCCUGAUUAUUGGAAGUGCACUGAAAUCCAAUUUGACCUCCAGAAAGGCAUUGUUUGCCCUGAAUAUGGUACUUGCAUUGUCAGUCUGGGUGCUCUGAGGUCCAUGGACAAGCUGUAAACAGGUGCAUAUCUGGAACCCUGAUGAAUACUCACCAGGCCUGCCACCCUUCUCCUCUCACUAAUGGGGAUUCAGACUCUGGAACCGACGAUAUAAAGGUUUAUUUCUCUCUCCAUCUACCUCCUGCUGGAAGAUUCCCCCUUGUUGCUGGCCCAGUAAACUCCUACAAUUAUCACCCAGGUCUCAGCUCUGCUCACAAGUAGACCCAAUGUUUGAUGUGAAUCUUGCUCUCUCUCGAGAUCACAUGACACACUGGGUGCAACCUUGUGGUUGCUCACCUCCAUCGGGCAUUCAGUUCCCCAGCUGACUUCCUGUGUGAGUUGCUAAGAAGCAUUUAGCACCUGCACACCAAGCACGUGUUCAUGGACCAGGAAGCAGACCCAAAAUGUCUGAG